CUCCCAAGAUUCCGGAAAUGGUGGCACUAGCGCCUGACCCUGCACGGUUCUCGUUAUCUCCAGCCGCUUAAGCCUGCCUAGAUUCUUCCACUUUUAUAUUUAAUGAACACAUCAACUUGCAAGAUUAAUCAUGAACAUUCUGAUAUGUCUGGAGUAUGUUUGCCCCGGUAACUUCAUGGCUUGCUCUUUAUCAGGAUGAGCAUUGCUGUGGGGACGGGCCACUCUCUAUGGGGCAGCUGACCACUCCCUGGCUGAACCGUGGCCCCAGUGAGCCCAGUGCGGCUGUGCAUGUCCUGAGUGUGCUGCUCUAACAGGGGCUCGGAGGCUGCCCUGCCUUCGACUCUGCUCGGAAGUUCUCCCCAGACAAGCCCUCUUGCACAUCUGCAUUAUUGAGCA